AAUACUACUGAAGUGAAACUCGUUAAAGCUUAUAACAUCAAUAACAUCCAAAUUAACAACUAAAAAUUUGCGUAAUUAAGCUCCAUGUAAAAACGGAAUGUCAAUGGAGUCAAAAACCUUUUAUUGAACUACACAUUAUCAACAACAGGUAAAAAGUUCACCACGCAAAAAUACCCAAAAAAGUUUUUGGAUCCAAAGAGUCAAACGUCAUAACCAGAUCAUGAUUCUACUCCGAUUCCCCAGAACCAGAGGUGCCAAGUUUCUCCAUCUCGAGGCGUUCGAGGGCUUUCUGGUGCGCCCAGGUCUCGAUGGACAAAUCGGGCUUGGCGUUCAACCCAACACCGAGAAUCACAAUGGUUAGGAAGCUGGUGAUGUAGCAGGGGAGCUCCCAGUCCUCCCACUUACGGGACUGCCCUGGUGGAGGCGGGGUCCGGUUGAAUAGGUAACCCUUGGGCCUCUCCUCGUGGCCUGGAGAUGUCCACCGGCUGGGACCUGCCGCGGCACCUCCGCGUGUACGGAGGGAGGAUGCUAGGCGCUGGCGGAGCAUCGAUGACGCCGUCGUGAAGGGUUGUAGAGAGGGCAUGGAUUUUGCCUGCAGAGUGACUAGGAGUCUGGAGGGAGAGGGACGCGCUGCGGAGACUGAAC
rnacentral:misc_RNA from 1 species